rnacentral:rRNA from 1 species
AUGUCCCGCGCACACCCGACGCGCCCGACCGCAACAGUGCAUCCCGCACGUCCCGCGCGCACCCGACGCGCCCGACGAGCCCGACCGCACCAGUCGCUCACCGCGCGCUGCCUACGCGUCCGCCAUGGCAGCCGCCAACGACAAACGCCAGAAGGAUGUAGGCGAACUCGAGCACGGACUCGAGCACAACGGCGACAUACGCCUCCUCCAACGUCAACCGCAUGCUCGUACGCGCGCCCGCGGUCCCGACGUGCCCGACGCGUCCAGUGCGCACCCAUAACACGCACCGGUCGCGCCCGGCUCGCCGCCGCGACUUAUUGCCCUGCACCGCUGCGGCCUCAACCAUAG